rnacentral:rRNA from 1 species
AGUGAACGCUGGCGGCGUGCUUAACACAUGCAAGUCGAACGAGAACGGAUUAUAGCUUGCUAUAAUUGUCAGCUAAGUGGCGCACGGGCGAGUAAUGUAUAGGUAAUAUGCCUCUUACUAAGGGAUAACAAAUGGAAACGUUUGCUAAUACCUUAUACUCCUUAUUAACAGAAGUUAAUAAGGGAAAGAUUUAUUGGUAAGAGAUUAGCCUGUAUUGUAUCAGUUAGUUGGUGGGGUAAUGGCUUACCAAGACUAUGACACAUAACUGGUUUGAGAGGAUGAUCAGUCACACUGGAACUGAGACACGGUCCAGACUCCUACGGGAGGCAGCAGUGGGGAAUAUUGCACAAUGGACGAAAGUCUGAUGCAGCAACGCCGCGUGGAGGAUGACACAUUUCGGUGCGUAAACUCCUUUUAUAUGAGAGGAUAAUGACGGUAUUAUAUGAAUAAGCACCGGCUAACUCCGUGCCAGCCGCCGCUGUAA